rnacentral:rRNA from 1 species
AGCCCUUGACAUGUCUAGGACCGGUCGCAGAGACGCGUCCUUCUCUUCGGAGCCUAGAACACAGGUGCUGCAUGGCUGUCGUCAGCUCGUGUCGUGAGAUGUUGGGUUAAGUCCCGCAACGAGCGCAACCCUCGUCCUUAGUUGCCAUCAUUUAGUUGGGCACUCUAGGGAGACUGCCGGUGAUAAGCCGCGAGGAAGGUGGGGAUGACGUCAAGUCCUCAUGGCCCUUACGGGCUGGGCUACACACGUGCUACAAUGGCGGUGACAAUGGGCAGCGAACCAGCAAUGGGGAGCUAAUCUCAAAAAACCGUCUCAGUUCGGAUUGCACUCUGCAACUCGAGUGCAUGAAGUUGGAAUCGCUAGUAAUCGUGGAUCAGCAUGCCACGGUGAAUACGUUCCCGGGCC